rnacentral:rRNA from 1 species
UACGUAGGGUGCAAGCGUUGUCCGGAAUUAUUGGGCGUAAAGAGCUUGUAGGCGGUUUGUCGCGUCUGCUGUGAAAUUCCGGGGCUCAACCCCGAACUUGCAGUGGGUACGGGCAGACUAGAGUGUGGUAGGGGAGACUGGAAUUCCUGGUGUAGCGGUGAAAUGCGCAGAUAUCAGGAGGAACACCGAUGGCGAAGGCAGGUCUCUGGGCCACUACUGACGCUGAGAAGCGAAAGCAUGGGGAGCGAACAGG